GGAGCUAGCCGUCGAAGGUGGGACAAAUGAUUGGGGUGAAGUCGUAACAAGGUAGCCGUAUCGGAAGGUGCGGCUGGAUCACCUCCUUUCUAAGGAUAUAUUCGGAAC
rnacentral:rRNA from 1 species